rnacentral:rRNA from 1 species
CUUUCUUUGCUGGCGACCGGCGCACGGGUGAGUAACACGUAUCCAACCUGCCCUUUACUCGGGGAUAGCCUUUCGAAAGAAAGAUUAAUACCCGAUAGUAUAAUGAUUCCGCAUGGUUUCAUUAUUAAAGGAUUCCGGUAAAGGAUGGGGAUGCGUUCCAUUAGGUUGUUGGUGAGGUAACGGCUCACCAAGCCUUCGAUGGAUAGGGGUUCUGAGAGGAAGGUCCCCCACAUUGGAACUGAGCACGGUCCAA